rnacentral:rRNA from 1 species
UACGUAGGUGGCAAGCGUUAUCCGGAAUUACUGGGCGUAAAGCGCACGCAGGCGGCUAGUCAAGUUCGACGUGAAAGCUCCCGGCUUAACUGGGAGAGGUCGUUGAAAACUGGUUAGCUUGAGGCAAUGAGAGGGGUGUAGAAUUCCCGGUGUAGUGGUGGAAUGCGUAGAUAUCCGGAAGAACACCGGUGGCGAAGGCGGCUCGCUGGGCUCUUGCUGACACUGAAUCACGACAGCGUGGGGAGCAAACAGG